AACGUCUGGAUGCAGCCCAUGACAGAACGCCCUGAAACCAUACUGCAAGAACAGGCAUCACAAUUCUUUCUGUUGGAAAGAAUUCUAGGGAGAGAAAUGAGAAAAUUCAGUGACUUAGUGCCAGUCUAGGGAACUACCACGAACGCAAUUCCAAACAGGGUGGAUGAGACAGCCAUUCAGCCUUCCAUUCCACCAAGGGUUAAAGUCACUGAGCUUUGUUCCUAGAAAGGUAGGGAGUUUUUUUUAAAAAAAGAUGGAAUUGGCUGGGGGAGAAGAACACAAUCUGGGCAUACAGCCAUUGCCCAUUCGGAGGAAUAAACCUUGUGUUAAGUGAGAGAGGCGAAGACGAAGGGACACAGGUUUGUUCUUGUUUUUUCAUUGUUAUUUUUAAUUUUGGUCCCGACUGCGGAGAAAAGAAAGUUCCCAUCUAAGAUUCAUAUCUGAAGGUGAUGCUCAGUCCAAAUUUCACUGCGAAAUGCCGCAUGCAUAAUUGCGUUAUUUCUGGAAUGCAGGAUCCUUUUGGAAGCUUCGUCUGCACGCGAUGUGGAGCAGCGGGAAGGGGUCUCCAUGCAAAUAAAACGAAGGGCUGACAAGAUACACUUUCAUGCCAGGGGGAAAAAGCUGCAUCUGAGGACCUUCUCAAUAAUAGCCCCCAAGCUGAGGAAUGACCUCCCCUCUGAGGUGUGUCAACCAACAUCACUUUAUACAUUCCAGAAGUUUGUGUAGAUGCAUAUUUUUACCCACGCCUUUGUCUGAAGAGACUAUUCUCCUCCUCCUCCUCCUCCUCCUCCUCCUCCUCCUGGUUCUGUAUUUUUAAAAUUGUUGUAAAUUUCUAUUUUCAUGAAUGUAAUUAAUAGCAAAAUGAAGAAACAAACAGCACAGAUGUGAAUUUUGAGUGAAGAAGGGCCCUUUUGAGUUCCCAAGUUGCCUGAAUUUGCAGGUCUGUUUGCACUUUGUUGCUAGAGAUCAUCCAGAUACCCACGAGCAAAGUGCGUCAAUUAUCUCUGAAGAAAGAAGAAUUGCAAGGUUAUCUAUCCCACCCUACUGAAGAGGUAGAGACUAUCAUUUGGUACCUGCCUCUUUGCCUCUCUGGAACCUGGAAGCUUUGAGCGUACUCUUUCCUUCCUCCCACACCAAAGUUUAGUGUUGUCCUCAGAUCUUGGGACUGAGGAAACACCCUGCCUCCUUCUGCCUCCUGCUUCCUGCAACCAUAGUAAGAAGCCCCAGAUUCUCUGAAGAUCCCUGCCUUUUCCUCCUACCUCUAAGUCUUAUUUCCACACUGGUCUACAGCCUUGCUUAAGCUGAUUUCUCUGCUACGUUGCUUUGCUACUUUGCAGAGUUAAAUCACUGAGAAAAAGGGACCCUCCUUCUCCUUCCCUCACUACUUUCUGGCUACAAGGUACCCUUGGCUGGACAUCUGCUAGAGAUCCUAGGAUCUCUUUCCGCUGGUGCAAGAAGCCAAAUUCCUAUCUUUGCAACGUUGCCCAUUUCUUAUCUGUCUGCUUCCCAUCUCCACUUCAUGCCUGCUUUUGUCUUAAACUUACAUCCUCCAACUGUAUGGAUGUAAUAUCAUAUUUCCCAUAAUCCUCUGUUUCACAAUUCUCCAUUUAAACUUCACAAUUCUGACAUUUAUAAUUGGGCAGUUAUGUUCAUUUAGUAAAUAAAUAAUAAAUAACACAAGGCA
ensembl:lncRNA